AGAGAAAUAUCGGACCGAGGUCUUUUUUGUACAGACCGAGCCCGUAGGGCGAGGUUUGUACAAAAAGACCGAGGUCCGAUAUUUCUCUGUAAAGACCGAGCAAGCGAGGUUAAUAAAAAGUUUAUUAUAUGGCAUUUAUACUCGAAACAAACAAGAAAUGCAUGGUUUGAAAUGCAUAUUAGUAGCGUGGUACACAUUUGGUCGAAGAAAACAAAA